UAUAAAACCGUGAUAGGGAAGAGUAGGUAGUAAAAGAUUUUAAAGAGAGUGAGAUAAGGUGAAAGCUCAUAGAUUAUAAACUAUUGAAAAUCACCCUGGAGUUGUAGGCUGAAAUAGAAGUAAGCUGUACCGGCAAAGCCGUUAUUGUAGUUGAGAAAAAAAUUGGGUGGUACCGCGAACCAAACUCUCGCCCCAGGG
rnacentral:ncRNA from 1 species